rnacentral:rRNA from 1 species
AGAGUUUGAUCCUGGCUCAGGACGAACGCUGGCGGCGUGCCUAAUACAUGCAAGUCGAGCGAGCUUGCCUAGAUGAUUUUAGUGCUUGCACUAAAUGAAACUAGAUACAAGCGAGCGGCGGACGGGUGAGUAACACGUGGGUAACCUGCCCAAGAGACUGGGAUAACACCUGGAAACAGAUGCUAAUACCGGAUAACAACACUAGACGCAUGUCUAGAGUUUGAAAGACGGUUCUGCUAUCACUCUUGGAUGGACCUGCGGUGCAUUAGCUAGUUGGUAAGGUAACGGCUUACCAAGGCAAUGAUGCAUAGCCGAGUUGAGAGACUGAUCGGCCACAUUGGGACUGAGACACGGCCCAAACUCCUACGGGAGGCAGCAGUAGGGAAUCUUCCACAAUGGACGAAAGUCUGAUGGAGCAACGCCGCGUGAGUGAAGAAGGGUUUCGGCUCGUAAAGCUCUGUUGGUAGUGAAGAAAGAUAGAGGUAGUAACUGGCCUUUAUUUGAUGGUAAUUACUUAGAAAGUCACGGCUAACUACGUGCCAGCAGCCGCGGUAAUACGUAGGUGGCAAGCGUUGUCCGGAUUUAUUGGGCGUAAAGCGAGUGCAGGCGGUUCAAUAAGUCUGAUGUGAAAGCCUUCGGCUCAACCGGAGAAUUGCAUCAGAAACUGUUGAACUUGAGUGCAGAGGAGGAGAGUGGAACUCCAUGUGUAGCGGUGGAAUGCGUAGAUAUAUGGAAGAACACCAGUGGCGAAGGCGGCUCUCUGGUCUGCAACUGACGCUGAGGCUCGAAAGCAUGGGUAGCGAACAGGAUUAGAUACCCUGGUAGUCCAUGCCGUAAACGAUGAGUGGUAAGUGUAGGGAGGUUUCCGCCUCUCAGUGCUGCAGCUAACGCAUUAAGCACUCCGCCUGGGGAGUACGACCGCAAGGUUGAAACUCAAAGGAAUUAACGGGGGCCCGCACAAGCGGUGGAGCAUGUGGUUUAAUUCGAAGCAACGCGAAGAACCUUACCAGGUCUUGACAUCCAGUGCAAACCUAAGAGAUUAGGUGUUCCCUUCGGGGACGCUGAGACAGGUGGUGCAUGGCUGUCGUCAGCUCGUGUCGUGAGAUGUUGGGUUAAGUCCCGCAACGAGCGCAACCCUUGUCAUUAGUUGCCAUCAUUAAGUUGGGCACUCUAAUGAGACUGCCGGUGACAAACCGGAGGAAGGUGGGGAUGACGUCAAGUCAUCAUGCCCCUUAUGACCUGGGCUACACACGUGCUACAAUGGACGGUACAACGAGAAGCGAACCUGCGAAGGCAAGCGGAUCUCUUAAAGCCGAUCUCAGUUCGGACUGUAGGCUGCAACUCGCCUACACGAAGCUGGGAUCGCUAGUAAUCGCGGAUCAGCACGCCGCGGUGAAUACGUUCCCGGGCCUUGUACA